GACAGAGGGGGCGAUCGUUGUCCGGAGUCACUGGGCGUAAAGCGCGCGCAGGCGGCAACCUCAGUGUCGUGUGAAAGCCCCCGGCUCAACCGGGGGAGGCCAUGGCAAACUGGGUCGCUCGAGCUGCGGAGAGGCCCCUCGAAUUGCCGGUGUAGCGGUGAAAUGCGUAGAGAUCGGCAGGAAGACCAAGGGGGAAGCCAGGGGGCUGGCCGCAGGCUGACGCUGAGGCGCGACAGCGUGGGGAGAGAACGGG
rnacentral:rRNA from 1 species